rnacentral:rRNA from 1 species
CCUACGGGUGGCAGCAGUGGGGAAUAUUGCACAAUGGGGGAAACCCUGAUGCAGCAACGCCGCGUGAGUGAAGAAGUAUUUCGGUAUGUAAAGCUCUAUCAGCAGGGAAGAAGAUGACGGUACCUGAGUAAGAAGCCCCGGCUAACUACGUGCCAGCAGCCGCGGUAAUACGUAGGGGGCAAGCGUUAUCCGGAUUUACUGGGUGUAAAGGGAGCGUAGACGGUGAGACAAGUCUGAAGUGAAAGCCUGGGGCUCAACCCCCGGACUGCUUUUGAAACUGUAUGGCUGGAGUGCAGGAGAGGUAAGUGGAAUUCCUAGUGUAGCGGUGAAAUGCGUAGAUAUUAGGAGGAACACCAGUGGCGAAGGCGGCUUACUGGACUGUAACUGACGUUGAGGCUCGAAAGCGUGGGGAGCAAACAGGAUUAGAUACCCGAGUAGUC